AAGAGCUGCCUUCCUCCUGUCAGAGAGCAGAGCAGCACCUUAUGAGCUGUGUGUGAAGGCAGCUUGAGAUGGGAGGUGUAAACAUCCCAGUGAGCUGUGGAUACCCCUUAUCACAGCCCAGUGGAGGGGACCUGCAACUCCACCUUCAGCUACUUCAACAAACAUGGCUAUUUCCACCUCCCUGGCCCUAGCUGGAAAAGCUGGCACCAGUCCCAAACCUAUCCUAGCUCUUUCCCAAGGCUGCUGUGGGUGACCUGCUGGUUGGGCUGACAGUCAUGAUAAGUGACAGGGAACAUCACCAGGUGACAGCCAGAGAAGCUUGGACUUGCUCUUUCUUCCUAGACCUGCUGCUCCAUCUACUCCAGCAGUUUCCAAGCACUGCCAGUGCCACAUUGGUUUUCACAGCUGCCUUGGUGGUAUGCGAAUCCCUCUCUUAAGAAUAUUUGCUAUCAGCUACAAUGUGAUGUGCUGCCAAUACUUUUCCUUUCAAUAAUUCCUCCAGAAGUCAGGAAAUGGCAAGUUUUAAAUAAUUUCUAUUAUGGCAACACCCGAAGAGAAAUUCACAGAAGAAAAAUGAGAUAUUUUCUGUGCUAAUCGCUUGCUUCCUGCCAGAUUUCGAAGCUGCCAGAUUUUUAUUUUCAGCAUGACAACAAUUACCAAAAUAAUGAGGGUGACACAAUUAACAAACAUGAAACAAUUAAUAAACAUGAAACAAUUAAUAAAGGUGUUAGAACUUCUCAAAA